UACGUAGGGUGCAAGCGUUGUCCGGAAUUAUUGGGCGUAAAGAGCUCGUAGGCGGCUUGUCGCGUCGAAUGUGAAAAACUCGGGGCUCAACUCCGAGCUUGCAUUCGAUACGGGCAGGCUAGAGUUCGGUAGGGGAGACUGGAAUUCCUGGUGUAGCGGUGAAAUGCGCAGAUAUCAGGAGGAACACCGGUGGCGAAGGCGGUUCUCUGGGCAUGUCCUGACGCUGAGGAGCGAAAGUGUGGGAGGCGAACAAG
rnacentral:rRNA from 1 species